AUGGGGAAUCUUGCGCAAUGGGCGAAAGCCUGACGCAGCCAUGCCGCGUGGAUGAUGAAGGUCUUAGGAUUGUAAAAUCCUUUCACCGGUGAAGAUAAUGACUGUAGCCGGAGAAGAAGCCCCGGCUAACUUCGUGCCAGCAGCCGCGGUAAUACGAAGGGGGCUAGCGUUGCUCGGAUUUACUGGGCGUAAAGGGCGCGUAGGCGGACAUUUAAGUCAGGGGUGAAAUCCCGGGGCUCAACCUCGGAACUGCCUUUGAUACUGGGUGUCUUGAGUAUGAGAGAGGUGUGUGGAACUCCGAGUGUAGAGGUGAAAUUCGUAGAUAUUCGGAAGAACACCAGUGGCGAAGGCGACACACUGGCUCAUUACUGACGCUGAGGCGCGAAAGCGUGGGGAGCAAACAGGAUUAGAUACCCCAGUAGUCC
rnacentral:rRNA from 1 species